rnacentral:rRNA from 1 species
UUUAGACUGGAACAACUUACCGAAAGGUGAGCUAAUGCCGGAUGAGUUAUAUAAGUGCAUGUUUAUAUAGGAAAAGUUGGGGAGACCUGACGCUGAAAGAUGGACUCGCGUCCCAUUAGCUAGUUGGUAGGGUAAUGGCCUACCAAGGCGACGAUGGGUAGCCGGCCUGAGAGGGUGGCCGGCCACACUGGGACUGAGACACGGCCCAGACUCCUACGGGAGGCAGCAGUGGGGAAUUUUGCGCAAUGCUCGUAAGAGUGACGCAGCGACGCCGCGUGAAUGACGAAGGCCUUCGGGUCGUAAAGUUCUUUCGACAGGGAAGAAAAUGCCUAUAAGUAACUGUGUAUGUAUUGACGGUACCUGUAUAAGCAGCCCCGGCUAACUCCGUGCCAGCAGCCGCGGUAAUACGGAGGGGGCGAGCGUUGUUCGGAGUGACUGGGCGUAAAGAGCACGUAGGCGGUGUUGUAAGUCAUUAGUCAAAGACUAGAGCUCAACUUUAGUAAGGCUAGUGAUACUAUAAUACUAGAGUAUCAGAGAGGAUUGCAGAAUUCCUGGUGUAGCGGUGAAAUGCGUAGAUAUCAGGAGGAAUACCGUUAGCGAAGGCGGCAAUCUGGCUGGAAACUGACGCUGAGGUGCGAAAGCGUGGGUAGCAAACAGGAUUAGAUACCCUGGUAGU